ACUAUAUGUAGGAUAGCAGUGCAUUUAAUUUUAGGAAGUCCCAGCUAUGAUGCAUUAGCCAAACAUAUUACUUCUAUGCACAUCAAUAUAUUUAUGGCUACUACAUUUAUGUUUUACCUCAAGGAAAAUGUAUUUAACAUAGACAAGCAUAGGCUUCAGAAUGUUUUAAGUUUUGUUGACAUGUUAAAUGCGAUUUUUUGUGCCUCCUUGAUAUGUUGAUAUGUAUUACUGUGGAUAUUUACUGGGGAUUUUUGGCAGGAAAAUUAUUGGCAGGAUAUUUGUCUACUUAUUGGUGUACCAUAGAGUCCUAUCGAUCUCUUUAAGGGUUUGCAUGUGUUUACUUACACAUGUUAUUGAUCUGACUAUUGUGUACUGGCCGGCUGCAGGGUUGGAGAGGUGUGGAAAGAGUUGCAGGUUGAGAUGGAUAAACUAUUUGAGACUAGAACUUAAGAGAGGUUGAAAUCUGAGAACCACACACAAUGAAAGGAAGACAUUGAAGAUCAGCAGCUCUCCACUUGUUAAUAGUUUCCAAAGUUAGUGAUAGCAUGCGCCAAUUGGAGUUGAAGCUUUAUGUACCUGGUUCACAUCAAAUUAAACCACUGGCAAUAUUCCUCAGAGACUAUGUGAACAUGAUUGUUGGGAAGUAUCCUUUCUGGAAUCGCACACAUGGGACAGAUCAUUUUCUUGUUGCUUGCCAUGACUGGCCUAUAGCUGUUUCAUAUGAAGAGCAACAUAUACAAGUUCAUGCAGCUGUUAUACAGUUGUUUCAUGGUUAGUGUCCCGAGUUCUUUGAACUGAAACAUGGAUGAAUAUUUUCUGGGAUGACGGGGUUGGAUGCCAAACUG